AGAGCGAACGCUGGCGGCAUGCUUAACACAUGCAAGUCGCACGGGCAUUUCGGUGUCAGUGGCGGACGGGUGAGUAACGCGUAGGUAUCUAUCCUUGGGUGGGGGAUAACGGUUGGAAACGACUGCUAAUACCGCAUGAUAAUUGAGGUUUAAAGGCGCAAGUCGCCUGGGGAGGAGCCUGCGUACGAUUAGCUUGUUGGUGGGGUAAAGGCCUACCAAGGCGACGAUCGUUAGCUGGUCUGAGAGGAUGAUCAGCCACAUUGGGACUGAGACACGGCCCAAACUCCUACGGGAGGCAGCAGUGGGGAAUAUUGGACAAUGGGCGAAAGCCUGAUCCAGCAAUGCCGCGUGUGUGAAGAAGGUCUUCGGAUUGGUAAAGCACUUUCGACAGGGACGAUGAUGACGGUACCUGUAGAAGAACGCCCCGGCUAACUUCGUGCCAGCAGCCGC
rnacentral:rRNA from 1 species